GAUGAACGCUGGCGGCGUGCUUAAUACAUGCAAGUCGAGCGACGCGCGGACGGGUGUGUAACACGUGGAUAACCCCCUAUAUGACUGGGAUAACUUACGGAAACCGGUGCUAAACCCGCUUCUUAUCGCUGGUUCCGUACGGCAUUAGCUAGUUGGUAAGGUAACGGCUUACCAAGUCAACGAUGCAUAGCCGACCUGAGAGGGUGACCGGCCACACUGGAACUGAGACACGGUCCAGACUCCUACGGGAGGCAGCAGUAGGGAAUCUUCCGCAAUGGGCGAAAGCCUGACGGAGCAACGCCGCGUGAGUGAAGAAGGUCUUCGGAUCGUAAAACUCUGUUAUUAGGGAAGCGGUACCUAAUCAGAAAGCCACGGCUAACUACGUGCCAGCAGCCGCGGUAAUAC
rnacentral:rRNA from 1 species